rnacentral:rRNA from 1 species
GAUGAACGCUGGCGGCGUGCCUAAUACAUGCAAGUCGAGCGAACAGACGAGGAGCUUGCUCCUCUGACGUUAGCGGCGGACGGGUGAGUAACACGUGGAUAACCUACCUAUAAGACUGGGAUAACUUCGGGAAACCGGAGCUAAUACCUGAUAAUAUAUUGAACCGCAUGGUUCAAUAGUGAAAGACGGUUUUGCUGUCACUUAUAGAUGGAUCCGCGCCGCAUUAGCUAGUUGGUAAGGUAACGGCUUACCAAGGCGACGAUGCGUAGCCGACCUGAGAGGGUGAUCGGCCACACUGGAACUGAGACACGGUCCAGACUCCUACGGGAGGCAGCAGUAGGGAAUCUUCCGCAAUGGGCGAAAGCCUGACGGAGCAACGCCGCGUGAGUGAUGAAGGUCUUCGGAUCGUAAAACUCUGUUAUUAGGGAAGAACAAAUGUGUAAGUAACUAUGCACGUCUUGACGGUACCUAAUCAGAAAGCCACGGCUAACUACGUG